UACGAGUGCCUCAAGCGUUAUCCGGAAUUAUUGGGCGUAAAGGUUGUGUAGGUGGUCGUGUUAGUCUCUUGUUAAAUUCUUCGGCUCAACCGGGGACCUGCAAGGGAAACGGCACGACUCGAGGAUGCGAGGGGUCUGCGGAACUCCUGGUGUAGCGGUGGAAUGCGCAGAUAUCAGGAAGAACACCAACGGCGAAGGCAGCUCGCUGGGACGGUACUGACGCUGAGACGCGAAAGCGUGGGGAGCGAACAGG
rnacentral:rRNA from 1 species